GGAGACGUGAGCUCUCUGGCCUCCCAGAUUUUAACCUGUUUCUGUGUCUCUAUUUUUCAUUCUUAUCACCCCUUGGCCAGGUUCGAGCUCAGCUGGUGGGCUGGUUCCUGCCCUCCCAUCCCUCUGGUCUUGAGAAAGUAGCCCAGCUUGAGCAUUUUUCACGUGAUACGUUUGUGAGAGCGUGAAAAGGGUCACGCAGCCUUCUGUGGUGUCAGUUAAAGCAAGUCACUGGGCCAGCCUGGGUUCAAAGUGAUGGGAAACCUACUCUACUCUUGAGGGGAGAAGGGUACAAGCUCGCUGCAAAAAAAAAAAAGGGGGCACGGUUAGGCUGAGUAAAAGAAGCCAGACAGGGCUGGGGAUUUGAUUUAGCUCAGUGGUUCUGUCUGCCCUGUAAGUGCAAGGACCCGGGGUUCAAUCCCCGGUACAAAAAAAAGCUAGCCACAAAAGAGUGCAUUGUUUGAUUAUAUGAAAUUCUAGAAAAGGCAAACUAAUAGAUAGUGGCGGAAAGUAAAUCACUGGUUGCUCAAGGCUGGAAAGAAGGGAUUGCUAGCAAAGGGGGAUGAGGGAAAUUGAGGGCGUAGUGGCUAUACCCCACACCUUGAGUGGUAAUAUAUACAGAGAUGUACACGUUUGUGAAAGUGCAUGAUUUUACAGUAAUUAGGUAAAUAUCUUAAAAAUAAGAUCGGAAAUGGGAAGGAUUGUUGAGACCAUCUUCAGAAAUAACCAUAUGUGAAAGCUUAGAUCUGAAAGGACAUUAGAAGAUCUUCUGGUCCAAUGUCCUACAAAUAAGGAAAGAGAGGCCCAGAGAGAGCAACUUGCCAACUUAGGGAGUCAGUAACAAAACUAGGAUUGGAAUCUAGACUAACCACAGCCUUGCUGUCAUUCCUCCCAAACCCUCUGAAAUCAGGGAAAGGACACCCUAGGCUCGCAUCAACAAGACUCCCCUACAUAUAAGAGCUGGGCCACACGAACUGUUAGUGUCCUUUUGCACUUUAUAAGCUUUUAGGGUUUUUGUCUGUUUUGUGAUGGGGCUCAAACUGAGGGUCUUCUACGUGCUAGUCAAAUGCUCUGCCACUGAGCUACAUCCCUAGCCCUUAGUGUGAAAAGUUAGGAGCAGAGACUGUUGUGCUCUGUUCCUCAUCCUGAGACACUAACUGCUCUGAGUUGGUGUGUCUAAUCCAGGUGACUGGAGCAGUGUUUAUAAAUAGAACACUGAGGGGCGGGGGGAAGAAGAGCAGCUAUGCCAUAGCCACCUGUUUUCCACAGUGCUAUUUUGAGUUUCUCAGGGCCUUGGCAGGAAAGGACAUGGAGGGCUAUGGAACUAUUGAGGCAUUAUUAAAUUUUACAAAGUUAAUAAACUUGUAAAGUGAGAAUUGUUGCCAGGUUUUAUAAAGUGCUUCAUAGAGUAGGUAGAAUUGAACUAAGAAAUAGUAUUGCAACCAAUAGUAAUACAGCAUGCAAAUGUAGCAUGUAGGGAAUUUUUAAAAAGUGAAGAGAGUCCACUUUUAACAUACUUUCUUUGCUCAAAAAAGCAAUUUGAACUUUAUCCAAGUGUCUCAGACAUUUAUCAGAUGUAUUCAACUUCUUUGGAUACCAAAGAACGUUUUAAAAACUACAAGAGAUGCCAGAAUGCUGUCAGCUGAAAUUAUUUGCUUGCUGGUACAUCAGAGAGUAAUACCCUGCUGGUCUGGGGCAAUUACCUAGAGAACAAUGGAUUUGAACUGAGAAUGGAAUCUGAACUUUUUUCUGCAGAAAGUCACAUGUGAAAAUUGAAUGAUUCAACGGGAUAAGGCAUCUCCUCGUAUUUGCAGAAUCAGAUUCUGCCCUCGUAUUUAUCGAUCACGGUCACGGUUGCUGGGGAAGGGGAAGCAGGAGGGGUGAGGAAAACGUGCCCAGGGGACUGAGGAAAUGAGGAUGAAGCGCCCUCCCAGGACAUCUUACCUACCAGAGGCUGCCGGGAUUGAACUCGGGUCCUUGAGCUUGUGAAGCAGGUGGCAGAACCACUGAGCUACAUCCCCAGCCCGCACCUGUUUUUCAAAGUGAUAUUCAGCACUUCUUUACCUACCAGCUAGGAAGCUGUAGUAUUUUAACAUUACCACCAGUUGUAGGUAAUCUUUAGGUGCAAAGCAAAUUUGGAAAAAUGGUUUCUAAGCACAAUCACCACCGACGCGUUGGCAAUAAGUAGAUGUUACAGUUUGUUCAUUUCCACAAAGUCCAAAGUCCUCUGCGCUAACAGUGAGUUUCCAGGUUGCUUAUCGGUGUGGUUAAACAGGUGUGAUACCAAUAUGGGCAGCACUUUGGAGAAUAAACAACUUCGUUGAAUGAGUUUGCAGAAUACUAGCUAUUUUGGAAGAACAUUUUUAAAAAAAAUCACAUCUUCAACUUAACAUGGCCUUUUAUUUUAAAAAAUUAUAAAUGUU
rnacentral:lncRNA from 1 species